AUGACUAUAUUCCGAACAAAGAUGAUAUGCCGAGACGGAGCUAAAGUUGAGGAAACAUUUGCAAUGGUUUCUCAGAAUAGAUGGCGCAUAGAAUUUAACCUCCCAAGUAGACUAUCUCCAGCAGAGGAAAAACUUCAGCCGAAUCGACACGAAGCUCCGCACCCAGGUGGUCGCUCCGGCGGCAGCAACACAGUCGUCGUCAUCGGUGUUGAUGAGGAGCGUGCAUGCCAAUCAAAUGAAGGCGGAGGCGUAGAACAACAUGACCAAGAAGUAGGCGAGAUCGAGGCGAGAAAGGACGGCCGGAUAUGCAACCUGACUGAAGAAGCCACAAGUCAAAGGAAGGAGGUGAAGAUACAGGAGUGGGAGAACUGCCAGAAAUCCAAAUUCAAAGCCAAGUUGAGGCAUGCAGAGGUGCAGGUGAAGGCGCGGAUGAAGAACAUCCUGACCAAGAGGAUGUCCACAUUGAGCCACAAGGUGGAGGGGAAGCAUGCAAGGGUCGAGGUGAAGCAUGCAAGGGUCGAGGUGAAGCGGAACCGGCGUGCAGUCCGGUUGGCGCGACAGGUGAAGUGCAUCCGGAAGACCGGCCGUGUGUCCCAUAUGGAGAGCUACGUUCUAAACAAAAGAGAACACUACGAGAAGGUUCUUGGAGGCCCCUUCCUUGUGGAGCUAGUCAGGCUGCUGAAGCUACUGAUACCUGAAAUCAAGGCAACUAAGAGGACGUCUAGAUCAUGGGGAGUCAAGACCCAAAUGACAACCCUUUAUGAGUCCUUCCUCAAGGGCCUGGAAACAAUCAUGACCCUGACAAGUGAUCAUGAUUACCCAAAAAUCCUGAAGGACAUGAUGAAGCAUAUUCACCUUGAAGGAGAUGCAGUCUAG
rnacentral:rRNA from 1 species